UAAAAACAGGCUUGCAGCCAGAAGCUUACUCAGGACUACUAACAGAUCUGCUGCAGUCAAAUCUGAUUUGUGAGAUAAUUUGCAGUAAGAGAAACUGUUGAAUGAGAAGAUAUGAUUGAUAAAGGAAAAAGGUCAGUUUCUUUAUAAUUAUUACACACAGAGAAAAUAUGAAGAAAGUGAACUUGUACCACAUUGCAAAUAAAACUAGUAAGUGGACA